UUGUUGUUGUUGUUGUUGUUGUUUACUGUGGAUUUCUUUUUUAAGGAUAGCAACUUCUGUGAGGGGCACCGAAGCAUCAAAUAAUGUGUAUAAUUCGUAUCCAGAUUUUAUUAGGGGUAUCCGGGGAAAUUAAGAAACCUCUGUAUCUGUGGCAUUCUAAAUUGAUAUGUUAUUUCAAAUAUAUACUGGCUAUUGAUUUCCUCUUUUAUUUUUAACAGUGUGAUGUGUCCUAUAAAAGACUUACAAAAAGAGACCUUAUAAAAGACCACAGGUUUGUUCACUUGAGCCUCUUUGGCUUCUGGUAAGUUACAGUAUUCUAAAAGACCGUGGUGUAUCGUAUAUCCAGGUGGUAGUCUUCCUUUUCAUUCUUUAAAACAAAACCCAUUAACAAGCAGUAUUUGUAAGAAUUUACUAGUGCAGUAUUCAGAAUGUCUUUUCUGGGCAUUGACCCUUCUGGAACUGCAGAACCAGGAUCAUGGGUUCUCUUUUCAUUUCUGGAUUUGAGAAAGCCGAACCAGUAGAUGGUAAAAUGAGAAAGAGAAAGUGAUAAUAUACUUUAUGUGGUACCAUCAGAUUUAAUUUCAAUAUUGAUCUUCUACCAUCCAUCCUUGCUAAACUUAUUUUCUCUAAUAGGUUUGUGUGUAUGUGUAUGUGUGAAUUUUAUAUGUAAGAUCAUGUCACUGGCAAAUAGAGAUAGUUUUACUUCUUUUCCAAUCUGGAUGCCUUUUCUUUCUUUUUCUUGCCUAAUUGCCUUGGCUAGAACCUUCCAGUGUUGAAGUGUUGAGAGCAGAUACCCUUGUCUGAUUCUUGAUCUUAAGGGGUAGGCUUUCAGCAAAUUGUGAUAUGAGCUAUGGUUGAUAAUCAGACUUAAAGGUGAACUUAGUACAAAUGUGAAGAUGUCUUCAACAACUUAGUCUAGGCUGCAGUUUCUCUGAUGUAAGAAAAUAAGCUAUUGGAUCCAAGGAUAAGCUACUAAGAGACAAUGGUAUUUGUUUGUUUUUAUGUAUGCCAUGCUGCUGAAGAACAAACAAUUAGUUUCUCAACCUCAGUACUUUGGGCAUUUUGAGGUGCAUAAUUCUUUGGGGGACUUCCCUGUGCAUUGUAGGAUGUUAAGCAGCAUUCUUGGCCUCUGUCUACUAGAUGCCACUUCAGCAUCUCAGCUAUAGCAACCAGAAAUGUCCAGACAUUGCCAGAUGUGCCCUGGCUGGCAAAAUGACCCCUAGUUGAUUGUCUUAGAGCAUGGACUGAUCAAGCACUAUCGAAUAGAAAUAUAAUGGGAGCCAUAUUUGUUAUUUUAUAUAUUUGUUAUUUAAAUGUUUAUUUUUGAGAGCGAGAAAGGCAUGUGUGCAAGUGUGGGAAGGGCAGCGGUGGGGGGGGUGGGGACAGAGGAUCCAAAGCGGGCUCGUUGGGACAGCAGAGAGACCAGUGUGGGACUUGAACUCUUGAACUGUGAGAUCAUGACCUGAGCUGAAGUCGGAUGCUUAACUGACUGAGUCACCCGGGCUCCCCUUUAUAUAUGUUAUUUUGAAUUUUGCUAGUAGCAGCGUACCUGGGUGGCUCAGUCGGUUGAGCAUCCAACUUUGGCUCGGGUCAUGAUCUCGCGGUUCACAAGUUCAAGCCCACGUCUGGCUGUGAACUUGACAGCUCAUUGCCUGGAGCCUGCUUCGGAUUCUGCGUCUCCCUUCCUCUCUCCCCCUUCCCCACUUGCGCUCUGUCUCUCUGUCUCUCAAAAAUAAAUAAAAAUAAUCUUAAAAAUUAAAAUAAAGUUAGCUAGUAGCUACAUUAAAAAAAUGUAAGAAGAAAUAGGUGAAAUUAAUUUUUAAUAGCACAUUUUAACUCAGCAUCCACAAUACUAUUUCAACAUGUGAUCCAUAUAAGAAUUAGUUAUUAAAUUUUUGAGAUCCGGUGUGUAUUUUAAAUUUACAGUACAUUUCAAUUCAGAUGUGAAAUUUUCAUCAGAAAUAAUUGAUCUGUAUUUAGAUUUCAGAAAAUUUACAGUUAAAGCCUGGCUUUACAUGUACAUACAAAAAAGAAAGGUUUAUGAUAAUCUAAGAUGAAUCAAUCUGGACUUCUCCAAAUACUUCACCUAUGUCUUUUUUUUGUGUGUUUAUUUUUGAGAGAGACAGAGUGUGAGUGGGGAAGGGGCAGAGAGAGGGGGAGACACAGAAUUCGAAGCAGGCUCCAGUCUCUGAGCUGUCAGCACAGAGUCCAACGUGGAGCUCGGACCCAUGAACCGUGAGAUCAUGCCCUGAGCCAAAGUCAGACACUUAACCAACUGAGCACCCAGGCUCGCCUUCACCUAUGUCUUGAAAGUCUUUAGCCUGUAAGAAUUCUGGGAUCAUAGCUUAUCAUUUGGUUAUUUUUUGAAUCACACGUACACGGUAUGGUUAUAUGUCCAAAUCAGCCAUAAUUUGAUCAUAUAGAAAAAAUAAUCCUGCUGCAAAUUUUACCUGGCAGUUCCAUUCAUUAAAUAGAACCUUACCUAUUACAUGGUGGUGUCAUGAGGAAAGUACUGUAUCCUGAUAUUGGUCCCAGAUUAACCAUUAUAGAUUUAGACAUUUCCACACUUUGGGUGGUUGUAGUACUCUUGAGGGAUCUGGUGUUCUGUGGAAUUAUUAGUGGAUAAAGUGACCCAUAUCUGCAUUUUGUCGCCCACCUUUAUUUGUAGACCUGUCUUCCUAGUUUAGAAGAAGGUUGGGAAAGUUUCAAGUGCUAAUGUCUACUGGAGUGGCAUUACCAGAGAGAUUUUGGAUAGUUGCCCUGUUUUUAGCUGCCAUAGGACAUUAAUUUUUCCCAUGGCCCUUCUGCUUAUGGUAUCCUUAAUCAUAGCUUUCUAAUUCUUAUAGAACACAGAACAUCUUGAGGGCCAGAAAUUUGUUUUGAUUCUAGCUUUUUGAAAUGUUAAGUGACAUCUUUGAAAUUGGCAUUUUUAAAUCCAUUUUUGAAAUUAAAAAAAAGGACAAGCCCAUCUGCCUUUACAAAUUAGUUCUUGAGGAUACCCCAGAAUAUUGGUUGAAAUUUUUCCUGGGUCAGUUUCCGGAAUCUGCUAUUUAAUUCAUCGUUUGUUUAUAAUUUUGAAUUUUGUCCAAUCCAUCCAUAAAGGAAAGGCUCUUGGAAUGGCCUUAUGUACUACAUUUCCUAUUUGCUUUCCCUUUCAAGGUCAGACCUUGAAUUAUGAAGAACUGGGUUAUUUAAACCAUCUCCUAGUUUUGGUAUUUUUGUUGUUGGUUUUGCUGCCUUCUUUUUAAUGUUUAUUUUUGAGAGCGUGCACGCAUACAAGUGGAGGAGGAGGGGGUUGAGGACAGAGGAUUGAAGCAGGCUCUAUGCCGACAGCAGAGAACCGAGUGCAGGGCUCAGAUGCACAAACCGUGAGUCAUGACCUGAGCCAAAGUCAGAUACUUAACUGAUUGAGCCACCCAGGCACCCUGGUUUUGCUGCUUUUAGCUAUUUUGUUCCCAUCCGAGUAUCCAAUAAUUAAGUGAACUGGUUGGUACAGACUCCAGGACAAUCAAUAUCUAUAAAAUUUUGAACUCUACAGCAGAUUUGUCUUCUUAAGGUUAAGAAAAUCCUUUAUUUCUUAUAGCUCUCUACUUGAUUCCAGGCUAAGGAUCAAAUAUUAGUUUCUUUAGAUCUGCAUUCUGUCCCAGUAGUUUUGAAGGGCUAUGAUAUGAUGUAAUUGAUCUUCCCUAAAAAGAACCUUGAGCAAAAGAGCACUUCUUUUGGAGGUAAAAGAAGGUGCAGAGGGAUAGAAAGUUUGAAUGGAUGGUAAAGAUAAAACUGGGUAGAAAAAAGGUGCCAGGAGGGCGGUCUCAGAACGUUUGAAUGGCAGUGAGUCACUGUUUCCUUUUGAGGCCUCCACAUAUCAAUCAAAAGUUGACUGUUGCAUAUUUUAGUCUUCCCCCCCCUUCCGAUUUUUCUAGAGCUCCUUUGAAUAUAUUAAUUUUGAUGAGAAGUUCCUUAUAAUGGCUAUAAGUAAUGCGAGUCAUUUUGUAGCAAACUUUUGCCAAGUUAAGCACAAGAGUUAGAAUUGUAGUGUGAAGACUGUCAGGAGGAGGUUGUGCCUUUGCCGUAGACAAAUCAAUGACAAGAAAAAGACAGUGCAUUUAUCAAAGGGUGUUUGUUAAUGGUAGAUGGGGUUGCCCAGCUAAGUGGAGAAUAGGGAGGAGCUGGUGAUCAGUGACCCCAAACACUGAUGAUCCUGAGAUACAGACUAAACAAAGUGAACUUGUUUUACAAAUUGCCCGGCCUUGAGGAAUACUCAUGAAGAUUUCACAGAUGACCCAAGGCAAAAUUUGACCAAUCAUUUUAGCAGCCAAUUGUCAUCAGUCUAAUGGACCAUUAGUCUUUAGGGCCAAUUUAUAUUGAUUUGGAGUCUUAGCCUAUGCCUCCAUCUGUUCCCUAUGAAGCACUUCCUUAUACAUUCAACACACACAAGACAAUAAGGGGCAAAACAACACAUAAUACAAAAUUUUGUGUAAAUUUGUAUGAAUAGGUGAACAAAAAUGAUGAAAACAAGCGGUGGGAGCAUAGGUAGGUUAAUGGGAAAAAUCUUUACCAAAUGGUUCACUUCUAAAUCAGAAGGUCUGAUUAUCAUGUGGACAAAACAAAGUAUAAUAAGUACCUUAUCAUAUGAAGAUCUAUUUGUUUAGUAGAAGUCUUAGAUGAAAUAAAUUCAGCAAUAAGAACUCAAUGAAACUGCCCAAAGUUCAGAUUGUUUUUGAGAAACUCAUCUGGCAACAGAAUUGAGAACUAUUGGGAGUGUGGGGCUCAAGAAGCCACUGAUCUUUCCUGUUGGUCCAAGAAUCCAUUGGAAUACUGUCAAGUGAGGUAUUAUAAGUAAUUUUGCGAGAAUUGUCCAAAGAAGAGAUCAAGAUUACCACCUGAUAACUAAAGCAAGAACUGGGAAAGGGAGAGUGAUGCUGGUUAGACCUUUCAUUUUGAGUAACCAACUGCUAAUUUCAUAUGAGGCUUUUGAGUCAGGGAUUGUUGUGUUGGUUACAGAGGUGGAGAAAAUUGAUGUCAGCCUCACAAACAUAGUUAUUCUGGCAAGACAUGCCGGUCAGGUGGCUUUCAGCAGAUUACUGGUAAGUUUAUUGUUGAUUGGUUGACCUUCAAAGUAUGAGACUGUCACUGAAUGGCUUCUGAUACAAGUUGUCAGUGAUCAAUUAAGAUUAAACUGAGGCAAGUUAUACAUGAUUCAAACAGGUUUAAAACUGGCUCCGAUUUACUUGUUACUGGCUGUAGAACAGUCUUUUAUUCACUUUUAGUAGGCUCUUUUAUUCCUAAUAGAUUUGUCAGUUCUAUAGACGUUUUUGCUAGCCUUACUUUUUAAAAAAUGAAGUGAAAUUCAGAUGCAUGUAAUUAACCAUUUUUAAAUGGCCGGUUUAGUAACAUUUAAUACAUUAGCAGUUACUCCCCACCCUACCCUAACCACCAAUGUACGUUCUGUCUCUACGGAUUUACCUAUUCCAGAUAUUUCAUAUAAAUGGAAUUGUACAACAUGUGACCUUGUGUCUACUUUCUUUCACUUGGCAUGUUUUCAAAGCUCUUCCACAUUGUCGCACAAAUCGGUACUUCAUUCCUUUUUUAUGGCUGAAUAGGAUUCCAUAGCAUAUGUAUGCCACAAUUUGUUUAUCCAUUCUUCUCUUUUAAACAAAAUAUUUUUUUAACCUUUAUUUAUUAUUGACAGACAGACAGAGACAGAGCAUGAGCAGGGGAGGGGCAGAGAGAGAGGGAGACACAGAAUGCGAAGCAGGCUCCAGGCUCUGAGCUGUCAGCACAGAGCCCGACGCGGGGCUCGAACUCACAAACCGCGAGAUCACGACCUGAGCUGAAGUUGGACACCCAACCGACUGAGCCACCCAGGGACCCCUCCAUUCUUCUCUUAAUGGGCAAUGAGAGUAGGUUUCUACCUUUUUGCUGAUGUGAAUAGUGCAUCUAUGAACAUUCAUGUACAAGUAUUUUUAUGAGAACAUGUUUUCAAUUCUUUGGGGUAUGUACCUAGGAGUAGAAUCGCUGGUAGUUCUGUGUUUCACUUUUUGAGGAAACACCAAACUGUUCUCCACACCAGCUGCCACAUUUUAUAUUCUCAGCAGUGUAUGAAGGUUCCAAAAUCUUCCAUCCUCACCAACACAUGCUGGUUUGCUUUUUUCCCCAGUCAUAGCCAUCCUAGUGGAUGUGAAGUGGUGUCUCAUUGUGGUUUUGAUUUGAAUUUCUCUGAUGACCGUUGGUGUUGAGCAUCUUUUUGUAUGUUCAUUGACCAUUGUGUAUGUUCUUUGGAGAAAUAUCUAUACAAAUCGUUUGCUCGUUUUAAAAAUGUUUUGUUGUUGUUGUUGAGUCAUAAGACCUUACAUCCACACACAGGACUGGAUACUAGAGCAAGAUCUCCUUUUUAUUUAAAAAAAAAAUUUUUUUUUAAUGUUUAUUUUUGAGAGAGAGAGAGAGAGAGACAGAGAGAGACAGAGAGAGACAGAGCAUGAGCAGGGGAGAGGCAGAGAGAGAGAGAGGGAGACACAGAAUCUGAAGCAGGCUCCAGGCUCUGAGCUGUCAGCACAGAGCCCGACGCGGGGCUCGAACUCACGAACCGCGAGAUCAAGACCUGAGCUGAAGUCAGACGCUUAACCGACUGAGCCACCCAGGCGCCCCAAGAUCUGCUUUUUAGAGGGAUGUUGAUGCUGUUUCAUUUGGGGAGAAGUACUUGAGAACUCAAUGAGGUUUGUCUCUGAAUGACAAAAAAUCCGAAGUAAAUGUGCUUUAAACAAGAAAUUUCUCUCCUUGUAAAUGAAGUCCAGAAGUUAGCAGGUCAGGGCUGUUAUAAAAAGCUCUAUAAUCAUGUUGGGCCUAGGUUUCUUAGUUGUUGCUUCACCGUUCUCAAAUUGUGGUUCCACUCCACGGUCCGGGUUGGCCAGUGACGCUGUGGCUAGUUUUGAGCACUUUACAGUCAGCGCGAAGGAUAAGAGAUGAAUAUGCAUGAAGUCUCCAAGUGGCACUUUUGCUCCGUUCUCUCUCUCCUGCCCUACCGAGUGAGGACUUUUCACCGUGAAACAUGUGUAACAUUUGUGUCUUAGAUCUUUCCCUGUUUUGUCGUUUUAGUCUUUGUUCUCUUCAUGUUUUUAUCAUCUGUGCUCUAGUAGUUAGUUAAUAACUUACAAAAAAGUUAUUUUUAAUACCUUUAGUCCGGUCACAGUGAAUUUUUUGAAUUUCAAUUUACAUUCAUAUGUUGUUACAGUAUAGUAUUAUAGAGGGAUAAAUAAAAAUAUUUUAAGCACUGAAGUAUGCCAUAAUUCUGUGAGGAAAGUGGAAUAAAAAUUCUGACCCAAUGAACGAUGUUAAUUAAACGUCUGACUGUUCAAGAGUUUGUUCUCGUAUUAUUUUAGAGAUGAUAGUGGGAGGCUGGGGUGUGGAAUCAGAUUGCUAUUGUGCUGAUCAAAUUGUUAGGGCAGCUAUCUUAUUUAAACUCAUGAUGGUACAUGUUAGUUACCAAUUUAAGACUAUGUGAAGCGGUACAUACUUUCCCAAAAUUUGUUUAGAGGUCUGCAAGCAAUAAAAUUUGAUGACACUGUUCUGGCAGAUGACAAGUGUAAGGUGGGCUGGCAGGUUCCCAUACCAGACUCGACAGAUCUGUGUCGAUAGUUUUAUAGAGAUUGAAAAAUAUUUUUAACUUGAGAUUUGGUGCUAGAGGAUCUGUCACGAAUAGCAUGUCACACUGUCUGUCUUCUAGGUGAGCCAGUCAAGUUAGGGUGCUAGGAAAUGUUGAAUAAAUCGCUUUACUACUUGGGCCAGAUCUUCCAGAGGCUCUGUCGCUAGGAUUCUAACCAAUGCUGGAAAAGAGAGAAAUCAAACAGAACUCUUUGUUGUCAGAGCUAAAUUCUUCCCUAAUGACAGAACUGAAAAGGUUAUAUUUUCUAUCAACAGAAGAAUAUACAUCUUGACAUGUCUUACUAGCCAUGGUUUUGUGGUUAAUUGUCACAAGAUUAUAAUUAAUUAAAUUUUUGGAAAGCGCUUUCCUUAAUUUAACACCUCCUCACGCCUCAUGUGGAGCUUUGUCAUAGCCAACUUGCCAGUAGUUCUGAGGACAGUGCCUCUAGAAUUUCACAUCUUGUCUCACUGUGCUGGCAGGACCUCUCAGUGAGCAGUCUUCCUUGUUUCUUGAUUAGCUUUGUGACGGAAUAUUUCAAGUACUAACCACGAUAUACAUGUAUAGAUUUGGGGUACGUACUGUGUGUUGGGAGGUUUCUUUCUGUUCUUUGCUUAUAUUUUGAAGUCCUGAAUGGAUGAUGAGUUUUAUCAAAUGCUUUUUCUACAUCUGUUUAAAUGCAAGGUUUUUUGUUUUUUGUUUUUGCCUUCCUCUGUCCUUGAGGUGGAUUACAUAAAUAGAUUUUCUAAUGUUGAACAAUUCUUGUGUUCUUGGGAUAAAGCCUACUUGGUCUUGAUCAAUGCUAUUAUUACUAAUAAUAUAUUUGUGAGCUUUAAAAAUAUUUUUUCAAAUUUUGCAUCUUGGUUCACAAAUAAAAUCAACCUAUGAUCUUU